AUGAUUUCGUUUUUUGUUUGUGUUGUUUUUUUUAGGAAGGAAAAAAAUAUGUGCAGAUGCUUUUUCAAAGAAGUUUUUUUCGAAUGGAGAUACUGCCAGUUUGAAAUUGAUCAGCUCUGUGGACUGAAAGUGUUUGACUGUCCAGCCUGUUCUCCAUUUAUGCUCGCUGUGUCCGUAGAUGGUAACAGGAAAUUGUAUCGCUUCAAAAGAGGGCAUGAAGAUCAUGGCCUGUUCGAGGGUGUCUUUGUCUGUAAAGAUGAAGAUGUUUCCAAGUUUGUGGACUACAUUAAUGCUAAGACAAAGCACUCAGCUGGAAAAGGUGUCUGUGGAUCAAGUCAAUGGAGUGCAGCACGGGAGUCUGUCCCAAAGAAAAUCAACAAGCUGGAUGAGGAGGGGAUGGAGGUGGCUGUCUGUCGACAUGGUGUGCUCCUGAGAAGUCUGAACAUGAUGAGGGGGAAAUAUUUGCGUAUCCCCUGUUUCUCCACAAAAAGAGCUGACUGCAAAGAAUGUGCAGUUCAUGUGCACUGAUGUUAUAUGCAAGUACUGGCCAUACCUGCAGAGAAUUGUUAAAGAUUGUCCAGAGCUCUCUCCUCUCCUGGACAUGAAGCCUUUCCUGUCAGUGAUGCAUGCAAAGGCCCACUCUUGGAAAUGUGAGGUAAACUGUUUUCCAGAACAUGAAGGUACCAAUUUGUGACUUGGAUAUGUAUGAUCAGUGAUUAUGAAUUUGUGUGUACAUUCUAAAAACACAUUUGAGAUAUGUUUGUUUUUAAUCCUGUAAAAAUAUUUUAUCUCCAUGUUCAAGAUUAAAUGGGGUGGUCGAAACCAAGAAGGAGCAGGCACCACCCUGGGGGAAGAGGUCGAACAAGUUAACAGCUUUUUGUCGAGAACUGCUAUAUGCAGUAAAUACAUGACCAAAGGAGGCAAGUAUAUAACUGCAAAGAUAUACAAUCCAAAGUUAGAAGUCAAAGCUACUUACAAAAAAAAUAUUUGAACAGCCUUAGUAUUCAACUUUUGCAUGAUCCUGUGUCAUCCACAUCGUUGUUAAUGCAAGCCCAAGACCAUCUUCAUAUCAGCCUUUAAAAAAAUGAUAAAGUGAAAAAAAGUAUGCAACAUUUAGGGGAGCUAUUGAUUAUUUAUAUUAUUAUUAUUUUUAUUUUUAUUUAUUUUUUAGCCAGAACAGACAUGAUUACAAUCCAGGCCAUGGCAUGGAAUCAGCGCAAAAUACGGAAACUUGCAAAAAGCGCUGUCCCUAAGAUUUAAAAAG
ensembl:lncRNA